AUCUGGGCAGAGGGAUCCUCCUCCUCUCAUCACUGGUGCUGGGUCUCCUUAGCCUGAGCUUCUCUUUGUUUAGGUGCUUGCUUGUGAAGAGUUGAAGUACUUGGUGGAACUGGAAGCUCACAGCUUCAGCAGAGCUGGGCAGCUCUCACCUCUGAGAAACAUUCAUGAGAGAAAAAGCUACAAGCUGCAAACCCCUGAUUUUUCUUUGCUUUUAAUUUUAUCCUUCCCUCUAUUUUUCUACAGCUUCUUUGUUCCAGUAUGCAUCCCCUCCUGGCUUUUCUGCUGU